UACGUAGGUGGCAAGCGUUGUCCGGAUUUAUUGGGUUUAAAGGGUGCGUAGGCGGCUGAUUAAGUCUGGGGUGAAAGCCCGUUGCUCAACAACGGAACUGCCCUGGAAACUGGUUAGCUUGAGUACAGACGAGGGUGGCGGAAUGGAUGCUGUAGCGGUGAAAUGCAUAGAUAGCAUCCAGAACCCCGAUUGCGAAGCAGCUGCCUAGACUGUAACUGACGCUGAGGCACGAAAGCGUGGGGAGCGAACAGG
rnacentral:rRNA from 1 species